CAAGAAAUUCUUCAGCCCAGCAGGGUGACAGUUGGUGGGACAGUUGGGGAGUGGCAGGAAGAAGAUGCCCAGGCAAACUUGACAGACCUGGCUCCAGGUCUUUCUUGGCUCUGCCUUCUCACUGAGCACCACUGAGCCAGCUCUGUGACCACUCUCUGCCUUGGUUUUUUCAGUGGUAAAUAGAGGAGGAUCCUGGGGCUCAUCCUGCUCCCUCUUUGGAGGACGAGUCAUCCCCACGACAGUGCGGGCUCUCCCCCGUAAGCACAGGGAGCUGAUGUUCUGAGUGUCAGAGGCCUGGGAGCUGCUGAGAUGCAACGAGUGGAUGGAUGCAGAUUGGGGGCAGGGGGGACUGGAACCUGGGAAUGUCAUCCUGGGUCAUCCAUGGACUCCCGACAUUCAGUGUGCUGCCUGAGGACAUCCAGAGGGCCUUAGAGUUCUUGGCAGAAGUAACCAUUGAGCCAUAUGAAGGCUCCAGUUGUCAUAAGACACAGAUAACACAGACGGGUGUUUGCUGAAACUUUCUCAUGCAGAAAAUAGUUAGCAUCUUGGUAAAAAUCAAAGCCAGGAGAAGAGAAGCAUCUGGGUGGCCUUGAUGUGUACCUGGUGUUCUAUCACAAAGCAAGGGUUGUUGGAGUCCUUUGUGUGAAAGAGAUCAACACAGAAAAACAAGGGAAUUCAUGGGCUCCUCGAUACACAGGCUGUUGGCUCCAUCUGAAGAACUGUUAAACUUAAGGGCCAAUGAUGUUCCCUCUGAACAGAGGAGCUGCAUGCUCAGCUCUGUCUGCCUCACCCUACAGUUGCCAAGCUGGGAAGAAAGCUGGUGACAAAUCUGCAUGGCCUUGGAGGCCUGAACCUCAGCUUCAGGGAGCUGCAGCAAGAGGUCUGACUUUGUCUCAAAGGGAAAAACUGUCCCAUGAAACAAGUUCAAACUCUGCCUGAAGAAACUCAGCAUUUAUCUGGUGGGCCAACAAUGUCUCCCCCUUGUGCCAUGGCCCUAUAGCCAAGGUCUGGCCAGAAAUGACACGAGAAAUGAGGGAAGCCCAGGCAGAGGAGGAGGGAAGGACACACAAGGAGAGCAUGUGAUGGAACCCAAGACCCAAAGCUUUACAGAAGUCACCGCAUCACGGAGGGGCCCACACUGCGACGACUUCCACAAUGCACGCACCUCUCGCCAAGCCUGGUCCAAGAGCAGAAUUCUGCAAAACAGUUGGAUACUUCUUUCUGUUUUUCAAUACAAGGCACUGAAUCCAAGGCCUUCAUACUAAGCUGCAUCCCCAACCCUUUUUCUCUUUUGAAACAGGAUCUAAGUUGCUAAAUUGCCCAGGCUGGGCUCAAACUUGUAAUCUUCCUGCCUCAGCCUUGCAGAAUGCUGGGGUGACUUCCUUUUAUCUGAGGGAAUGCAAAGCAUUUCAAAAAGCAGUGCCUUCUACCUCCUCUCCAUGAAUCCUUUUUCUUUUUCACUCUCCUUUUCCUUCUUCCAUUCUUCCAAUGCUCCCCUAACACUGGAGCCUCAGGAAGCAAGAAAAGGUACAAAAGAAAACCCUUCCCAUUUCUGAUCCCAGCUGUGGAGCCUGAAGAACUUUGAGGGUAUAAAGUAAUUAACCUCUCACCACCUCUGAGUGUUAAGAGAUGUGAGCUACUGCUAUGUCCCAUUUUAUAACCAGCACAACAGAG
ensembl:lncRNA